AAACCCCCUCAUAAAGCAUCGUGGCGGUGCAGGGAGGAGAGAGGCGUGAAGGAUCCCCGGGUACUGUGGUUUCCGCGGUGAAUGAGAGGAUCUUUAAAGUUUUACUCGUCGAGGGGUGACCCCCCUCGGGUGAUCCGUUUCAGUCAUUUUGUAUGCACUUGGGUGUCUCUCGGCCGAUAGUGCUUCGAAACGACGGAGAGAAUUCGAAAGAAAUGGCCGACUCGGGAAGGGGGUAGUGAAAAGUUGACGUAAACGGCGAAAAUAGAUUGUCAAGUGAUUUUUCAAAGGAUUACGGUAAACGCGAGUAAACGUUACUUAAACGAGUACUUAGACGGUAUUUGAAGCAGGAAUCAAAGCCGUUCUAAAUAAUUUGUGAGGUGAAGUGGAUGUAAAAAAGAAAUGUAAAUAAAAAGAAAUAAAAUAAAAUAAAAUAACAAUAUGAACAGAGGAGUCGUGCGAUAUAUUCAUACAUGGUGUUUUAACUAGCGAAGGAAGGACUUCUCGUCUGACGAGAGAGGCUUUUUAAAUUCGGGUCUCGCCUCUGAUAGAGGAUCCCCGAGUGGCCAUUUCUCACGGGCCAACAGAGUCGUUUAAUUCGCGAAACGAGAGAACAGGGAUCCGGACCACUGCUUUUUAUGAUUCAGUACUGGUGGAACAUCUUCCUCGAAUUCCUUCCGGCCGGACUUAUAUACGUACGGAGAAAAGUCGGCGAAAAGUGUGCGAAAAUUGCUGCGCGGAUUCUUAACGAAAUUUUCACCGACGACGAAAUAUUUUCGUCGCGGCUCCUUGGUAUUCCGGUCUCGUCGCGCCCGGUAAAUUCGCGUCGCGAGGACGUCCCGCUCUCCUCUUAAUCCCGGGGAGUUCGUAAAACGAGGUCGCGUGUUCGACGAGAACCACGGAUACAAAAUACCGAAACACUAGCUCCUGUAAUAUUGAAAAGCGGUCGAAGGGAAGGCGUGUUCGGCGACGCAAGACCUUAGAGAUAGACGACUAGUCGUCGCUAUACACUUGUAGCUUAUAUGCGGAAAUUGGGAGAAAUAAAAUAUUCUAGGAGGAGCUCUCUCUUUCUUACGCAAAUAAAAAUAUGCGAGAGAAGAUUCGAUCAGAAUAUAAUUAAUUAAAAAUAUAUAAAAAAACUGUGACAUACUGAGUAAGGGCUAAUUAAUUUCGAGAGAUGAAAAUUAAUAUGAGAAUUUUUGGAAGAUAAGUUUUUCUUUCAAGACGUGUAUAAAUGCAAGAGGAUAGAUUAAAGAAAGUGAUAGUAACGAGAAAUAACUAUGCGCUUUAAAUAAAGUGCAAAACACACGGAGGAGAGAAAGAGAGAAGAAGAAGUGUCACCGAGCAAUGCAAUUGUAACGAGAGGGUGUACUAAUCCGCGGAAAUUGGGAGAAAUAAAAUAUUCUAGGAGGAGCUCUCUCUUUCUUACGCAAAUAAAAAUAUGCGAGAGAAGAUUCGAUCAGAAUAUAAUUAAUUAAAAAUAUAUAAAAAAACUGUGACAUACUGAGUAAGGGCUAAUUAAUUUCGAGAGAUGAAAAUUAAUAUGAGAAUUUUUGGAAGAUAAGUUUUUCUUUCAAGACGUGUAUAAAUGCAAGAGGAUAGAUUAAAGAAAGUGAUAGUAACGAGAAAUAACUAUGCGCUUUAAAUAAAGUGCAAAACACACGGAGGAGAGAAAGAGAGAAGAAGAAGUGUCACCGAGCAAUGCAAUUGUAACGAGAGGGUGUACUAAUCCGCGAUAUAAAAACGGACGAGCCGUAUUUCAGUGUCGUCCAAAGGCGAUUCCUUCGCAUACGCACUCAACGAAUCUCGUUAACGGAGUUCGAGGUGAAGGAGGAAGAGAAGGCAGGCACAGCACGAAGGGGGGUGGCGGCGGCGGCUACGUCAUCGGGGGUGGAAAGGCGCGAGCGUCUUGCCGGGCGUCCAGCAAUGCAGGAUCGCGAUGAAUUUUACAGGAACCUCUGCUCGUCGGAGACCCUGCGCUCCGGCAAGAGGGGCUUCUUCCACGAUUUCAGCGAGUCCGUGAUGCGGAUGGCGGGCGCGACCUGGACGACCGAGGUAUUCGGCCGAAUCGAGGACGACGCGGGUCGGGUGAGGGCGAUCUUCGCCGACCCGAGGAUACGGCAUGUCGUGAUCGACACGCUGGCGAGGGUGAAGCCACUUUAUAGGGACAAGGACGCCGACAUUUCUAAACGCAGACGACUCGAGGGGUACCAGCUCGCCGCCAUCGGCCAAUACGACAAGGCUCUCCUGCUGUUCAGUCAGGCCGUUCUGCGUGCGCCUCAACGAGAUAAGGGUAAGACGGUCGAUCAGGACAUGUCGUUGCCCCUGGCACUCUUGGGGAGAGCCGAGAUCUUUAUGGCACUUAAGGAAUACCAUUUCGCGUUGGAGGAUCUGCGACUGGCCGGCGAGUACGACUUGCCGGAUAAAUCGAUGCAGGAGCUUCGGCGAAGGAGGGAGGAGUGCGAAUGUUUCUUGAGAGUCAACGAGAAAUCUCUGACGCCGGUCGAUCUCGCCAAUAACGUUGACAAGGUGACUCGAUUAAUCUUGAAUGAAGAAAAAGACGGUGCUGGCAGGCCGUUAAACGGCGCCGUUAAUUCCGAGGCGCGCUGGUCGUCCGACGCCCUGGAGAUCCGUGAGACCUCGGUAGCGGGUAAACACGCCGUCGCAGCCACGGAGAUACAUCCGGGCGAUACUCUGGUAGUUGAGGGACCGUUGGCGGGCUGCCUCCUACCCGAGUUCUACGGCACCCAUUGUCAGCAUUGUUACGCGAGACUGAAAGCGCCGAUCGGAUGCCCGAAUUGCAGCUGCGUCACUUUCUGCGGGAGAAAAUGCAGGGACAUCGCGAUGGCGACGUAUCACAAGUACGAGUGCAAAAUACUUGCAUUGUUGAUUGGCUCCGGCAUGAGCGUACUCAGCAUGGUCGCCUUUCGGAUGGUGACGCAGGAGGGUCUGCGGAAGUGUUUGAAGAUCUACGAAGAGCUGGAGAAGGCUGACGACGAGAAGGCCGCGACGUCUUUGACGACGACGACGACGACGAUACCGGAUACGCAUGAUGCGAAAUCGUCGGCAAAUAGCCGGUCGGCCAGGAGAAGAAUCAGACGGAGGAAGCUGAAGGAAUGCAGACGACGCGAGGGCGGAAUUGAGAUGAGGGGGAGGGAGGGGCAGGACACAAAGGGGUCCCGCGAGAGCGGCCACGACCACGACGACGACGACGACGACAAUGUCGACAUGGCAGCGUACAAUCUGGUGACGCACGCGAACAAGCGUACGGGGAGCGACUUCCUGGAGAGAUCGCUGAUGGCGGCCUUCCUGCUCAGAUGCCUGCAGAGAGUCGGCUUCUUCGCGCAUCCCACGCCGGACGACGAGGUCCCGGGCGCCGAGGAGAUCAUCGUGGCCGCCCUGCUGCUGAGGAACCUGCAGCUGCUCCAAUUCAACGCCCACGAGUUCUUCGAGACGCGGUUGAGCGCGGGGCAUCGAUUCCGCUGCAGCCGUCCGGUCUACCUCGGGGUGGCGAUUUAUCCCACGGUCGCCCGUUUCAAUCACGACUGCUACCCCGCGGUGACGAGAUACUUCGUCGGCCGGCACAUCGUAAUAAGGGCAGUUCGCGGUUUACAACCCGGCGACGUUAUUGCCGAAAACUACGGACCGAUAUUCACGAAGAGAACGCUCGCCGAGCGUCAAAGGACAUUAACGGGAAGAUACUGGUUCCGAUGCACAUGCCAGGCCUGCCAAGAGGACUGGCCGUACUUUGAGAACCUGACGAACGAUGCCGUCAGAUUGAGGUGUCCUACGGAAGGAUGCAGCGGAUUGCAUUCGCGGGCGCAGCAACGGCCGGGUAAGCCGAUAAAAUGUCCGGAUUGUCGGAAGAAGAUCUGCUUGGAGGAUCGGCUCGCGUGUCUGCAAGAGUGCGAGACGCUCUACGCCCGCGGAUUGGCCAGCAUGGAGGAUGAGAGGGUUGACGAGGCAAUCGGGAUACUGUGCGACGCCUUGAAGAGAUUUCAUCGAGUCGCCUAUCCACCGCAUCGGGACACCCACCUGGCCGAAAUUGCCUUAAGCUCCUGUCUGAUCGAUUACGGGAACACUUGGAGACCGGCCGUGCUUUGUGAACGCACGUGAAAGGGAGAAAAAGGAAGCUGGCUGUAUCGUAGAUACAGGAAUCUCGACGAAUCUACGCCGAGUGAAGUGUCCUUGGAACAAAAGACGAGGAUUACGACCAUUCGGAUUAGACUUGGAACGAGAGAAACGUUAUCCUUAUUGCCUUUAUGAAAUAGCUCGGUUCCAAGAAAACGUAAAAAAAAACUUCUCGCGAAUAGAAUAAAAAAGAUUUCGCCCGCCGCUUGAACGACGUCACGUCGCGCCCAUAACGUCAUAUAAUUUAUACACGCUAAUACUCACGCGUACAUAUGUACAUCGACCUAUCUUGGGCCGUUUUUAUCCCCGGUUAACAUCGAUAUACACCAGAAACAAAUGGCGAUAAAUGAUAUUGCGAGCGCGAAUCAACCGUGUGGCGAGGUAGAUAUCGAUAUCGGAAAAUUACAGGGCGAAGCGUCGACCUGGAAGUCAACUUUUUUAAUUUCGCCUGCGCGCAAAGCGCGGGCAAUCAAUCGGUUCAUCCGAGAUCUCUCUUGAUUGCCUUUACUGUGUGUAUAUUUAUAUAUAUGUAUGUAUGUGUGCAGGAUGUGUAUCGUAUCUCUAUAUGUGAAAACAUACGAUGAGGAGUUUCUUAUAAGUCGUACACGUUUUUCUCCUGCAUCCUCGUUCGCGAAAAGCAUGGAAUUCUGCCAAUCUUAACGUUCAUUUAGAUAUCCCGUCACGCCAUUUAAACAACUGUGUAUAUAAUAUGUGUAAAAAAAAAAGAACGUAAUGAACUGAAUAAGACGCGUCGAGAUUGUGAAAAUAAAUAAUGGUUUUUCUCUUUGAGAUGAAAGAAAUAAAAUAAUGGUUUUUCCCCUCCUUUGAGAUAUACAGACGACCCUUUCGCGUGAUAUACUAGAGUAUAUUUGCUAUAGCGUGCGGCAAAAAUGCAUACGAACUGCCGGAUUUAUAUAGUGGUUGCGUGCUCACGUAUUGUAUAAUAUAUAUUUGGAUUAAGGGCUUUCAAAUCCGACACAACCCGUUAAUCUCUUUCAACGUUUGGGACUGAAGAGAAAUGCGCGUGACAAUUGUGGCGGCCACCUUACUGCGACACCUUAAGCCAUGUAUUUCAGAAAGUGCACCGAAAAUAUGCUAAAUGUAAUAUCGAUUUUCAAUUUUGAAAUUAUCUUUGCAUUUACACAUAAAUAUAAAAUAUUAUAUUGAAAGUACAAUAUAUUCUUUUUUCAAAUAUGAUUCGAGACGCUAUUGAUAUUUAGUUUUACUGCGACUAUAUGUAUAUCAAUGCUUAAUUUUUUUUUUAAUGAUUAUCCACCGAUCAUCGAUCAUAGAUCAGAUUGAUAUGUAUUUUUUACUUAUAUUUGAAAAUUAUAUUUUUUGUUUAAAAAUAGCAAGGUUUGGAAAUGUAGCCUGUUAAGUUUUUGAUAAUUAUAGGAGAUAAAUAUAUGUAUUUUUUUUUUUAUUUAGCAUAAAAUUUGGAUUAUGGAGCAUCGUUAUUAAGGAUGUAUAUGUCAUAUGUUAAAGGCAUGAAAAUUUCAUAGACUGUUCUAUUUUUUCUAAAUAUCUGUGCAAAACUAGAGCACAAUUUCCUUAACGAUUUAAAAAAAAAUAAUUUAAGUUUAAAGUUAUUGUAGCACUUAUUGACAAAUUUGACAAAGAAAAAAACAUUGCCGACGAAAUAAAAACUUUCACAUAUAUUAUUAAGAAAACUCUAUUAAAUACUUGUGCAAAACUUUAUUUAAAUUCACUUACUCAUUUAAAAGUUAUUUACUAAAAAUUGUAGAAAAAUAUUAUCUCUCUCUCCCUCUCUGUAAAUCAUUGGUUUUUUUUUAUUUCUUGCAAUUAAUUUUAGGGGAUAUUCACAAUCCAAAAUUUUUGUCAUAAAUUAGAAAAAAAUCUUACAACUAUUUUCUUUUACGAAGACGUUAAAAAUUAUAUUAUUUUGAUACUUUAAUUUUUUUUAUAAUCAGGAUUUAUUUAUUUGAUUUUUUAAACAGUAUAUAAACGUAAGAAAUAUAUAUUUUCUUUUCUUGCUAUUAUUGUACAGCAAAAAAUCCUUAAAUAUUCUUUAGUGCACCUAUCUUAAAUAUUGAUAUAAACAUUUUCCUGGGAGGAAACGCUGCAAGUUUAACGCGAAAAGUUUCUGCAAAUUUAAAAGCAGUUUCCGAUAUCAAAAGCGGCGUAUCUCUCCAGGUAAUGCAUUUCGCUGCCGAUAGAUGAAAAAUUUAAACGUAUCGUUAAACUAUAUUCGAGCGUCGUUCGAUGCGCGACCCGUGCAAUUUAUAAUUCAUAAUGAUGAUAAAUCCAUAAUAUCAGAGACGAAUCCGCUGUGUCAAUUAUGAUACCAGUUACUGCUGAUCGUUGCUGCACGAGAGAUUAACGCCGGGACGGAAAAUUAAUUUAUAUACCUCGCGAAAGGUGAUUAAGUGCCGCCGUAAUGCCGGUAUUGUUGGAAAUUUCCCAUGACAGAAAUGCAUUAUACCUAUAACACUCUCUCUCUCUCUCUCUCUCUCUCUCUCUCUUUCGGCUCCGAUCAACUUCGUCGCGUGAAAUUAUGCGUGUACGAAUCCAUCGAGAGGAUUCAUAAAUUUUUCAUUACCUCAGAAAUUUCUACCCGUAAAUGGCAAAGAUUAAAUAUGUGCUGUUCGUAUUCGAUAGCAAAUUUACAAUAUUUAGAAAAAUAUUGAGAUAAAUUAAUACUAAUAUAAUUGAAUAAAUUUUGUCAAAAUAUUUACACGCAGUUCGACUAUUAAUCCAAUUAUAAAUUUUGCUUUUUUACCGUCUCGUAUUAUUUUCAUUUCGUUCAACUCGAUCGGUCAUAAUAAUUUUUAAAUAAAAUCAUAAAUUCUUCGUUAAUAUUUUCACAAUAUCGAAUUGCUCUCGUGAAUUGAUUUCGUGACAAUGACGUGAUACUCGAGAGGAGAAAAGAUAAACAGGGGAGGGGGGAGUGGGGGGUGGGAAUAAACAGGGAAGAGCGAGAUAAAACAAAACUCGUGUUUGGUUCCAUUGACUUUUGCAAUUUUUUUGGUAGAUUUAUUUUUUAUAAUGCACAUGUUUCUCGUGAAAAAAUUAAAUUCCGUGUAUAUGAAAUUAGCAUUUAGAGCUUCAUGUUUCGGUACAAAAUUCAUUGUUGUGUAGAGGAAGGGCAGUCGACGGACGACUGUUAUACCCGGGGACACGCUCGGACGACGACGACGACGGCGUCGGCGUCCGGUGUUCGUCGAGGUCUUUUGAUACAUUUUUCUCUUCUUUUUUUUCUUUUCUCUCUUUGUCUCUCGAAAGUUGAACGUCUCCUCGAUCGCGAUUUCGGUUCUUUUUCCCCUGUCUUUUACCUUUUCCAUUUUUCGUCCACAUCUAUAUAUAUAUAUAUAUAUAUAUAUAUAUAUAUAUAUAUAUAUAUAUAUAUAGAUGUAGAUAUAACUCGAGUAUCGUCUUUACUCGCGUGAAACUCGAAUCGGAUCUAAUUGACUGUCGCGACGUGAUAUCCUCUUUUAUUGCGAUUAUUUUCUUCGGUAGACACGCGACGCGAAUGCACGACGGAAAUUUCGAACGAAAAGGGACGCGUCACCCACCUCUUCCCUUCUUACCCGAAAAUUCUUCCUGAGAGGAUCAAUUUUUUCUUUUUUCGUUAUCUUUUCUCGAUAAAUUAAGCUUUUCUUCUUCGGCGAGAGGAGAGAACCGAAAAAACGCCAAUGACAAUCGCGAAAUUUAGCGACGCGGGCCAUUAAUUCGCAAAAUAUUAUAUUUCGGAGGAUCGGAUUGAUAUUUCGAGUGGGCAAUCCACAUACGAUCGGACGCUUCGUAUGUCAAAUAAUCUCGAUGCUCGUGGAGAAGAUAUUUGACAUACAAAGAACCGGCUUAUGGAGAUUGUGCCUCGUGGAAAAAAUUCCGCUUACUUUUCCUCCCGCGAACUUAUUCGCGUCGCCCGAUCGUAAGCCGUCUUUCUCUCUCAAUUUAUGUAAGGAACGACGUUUUUUUUUUUUUCACGAUUGACUGGCGGCUGCUGCGUCGAAAAAAAAAAAUGUUUCGACGACAGCGAUGAUCCGAACGACGAAGCACAAACUGUGCGAGAGAUUUUUUUUUUGUUCUCGGUUGCAAUCUUAGGUACCGUUCCUUUUUUUUUUUUUACCGCGUAUAAGUUUAAUUGCUGGAAAUUCUCGUCGUUAUUCUGUUUCUUUCUUUUUUUUUUUUGGGCUUUACGACUUUUAUCGCUUUGACUCUGAUAUUCACUGUUAACACAUGCAUUGUUCUUUUUUUGCAGUUACAAUCGCGCGCCCGCACGGCGCGCUCGCUUCGAGUUUUUGCUUGUUUCGCGCCUCUCUCUCCGCUGUGUCUCGAGAGGCCGGUCUCUCUUGUGUGGAUUCUUUUGUAGUUUUAUUUUUUUUUCUUUUUACUUCUUUCUACCGUUUUUUUUUCGUGGGAACGCGCGGUUACGUUAGACAACGGAGGGUGAUUACGUUAAACAAAACGCGGGCCCGAAGAGCCGCCGCACGAUUUUGUGCCAACGGACACGGAUUGCAGUUUAAUAGAAAAGCGAAAAAAAAAACAAAAAACGCGAGGGACGACACGUACGUGUCGAUCGAUAUAACGUAUCUCGUGUCCGCUGGGUUCCCUCUUAUACGGGGAUCGAGUGAGAAAGAUUUUCGGCGAUCAUCGGCGCGGGAUCGACAUUCUCGAUCAAGAUUGCUUCGCUUAAAUGUAUGUAUACUUUUUUUUUUUCCUACGCUUGUAAAAGUGUAAAUACGCGAGCACGCCCGCGUAACGUAACCGCGCGUUUAUCUCUCUCCACUUGGCACCACACUCACGCACACGCAUUAUUUCCUCUUCUUCGUCUUAUUAACUUCCUUAAAUUGCUUCGCUUAUCCUAAACCAAAUCGGAUGCGUUUCAAUAUUCCUCGAAUACUCAAUCUUUCCGAUUUUUGGCUACACAGAGAUAUUAUGCAAUUUCACGAAGACACACUUGGGUUGCGGCUUGGCAAAGCGCUACUUGACAAACGGGAUAUGAUAGGAAAAUGUGAAACAAUUAAAAACGAUUAUCGUGAUGUGUAGGAUAAUAUCUUGGGCGGAAUUAAUCUUCUGGCGCCUAGACAAGAUGCGGCUACUUGCUACUGUCAGUGGAAAGUGUUGGUCAAAAUAUAUUCGCGAACAAGGAUUUUGAAUACCUAUUUGUCGCCCAAUGCAUUGACGCGUAUAAAAAAAAUGCACGUUAAUACAUUUGUUGCACAAAAAUCUGUACAUUCUAUGUUUUAUAUACGCUAAUAAAUUCGCCAAUUUAUAUUCAUAUUCGAAAUCAUGUAUCAUCUGCGAAUAUGUUUCACGCAACACUGAUCGUUUUUGAUCGACGAGCACAGACGACGGAAACAAUAAACACCAUAUGAUGUCGGUAAGCUACAUCCAAAUGACACGAAGACCUUUGAAAGAUGUCUGUCUUGUCAUACAUUUCCGCGGAUGUGUCGCCUGGAUAUAGACUUUAAAUGGAAAAAAAAAGAUACAAAUCCAAUUAGAAAAUUUCGCCAAAUAUAAAGAUAAUUUCGUUUUUUUUUUUUUUCUUUUUUCUUUUUACAGAAAGUAGACGUAUAUAUAUUUCUUUUAUUAUCCGUCGACGAUACUACAAACUAAAAUUUUAAAAAUUAUUUUCAUGCAAAAUUAUAUAAAGUUUGUUUUCUCUCUCUCUUAUUCUCUCUCUCUCUCGUCUUCAUACUCUCAUGACAGUCUAUGUUAUCCGUAUUGUCAAUCAAGCCGAUGUGUGAUACGCCCGGCUCUUGUUUCAAAAUGUCAAAUCGAGUCGAUUGUCGCAUAAAAGCAAACGUUCAGUGGUUUACUAAAAAACGACUCGCCCGGUGCACAGUCGACCGAUGUCAAUUCUAGAAACGACCGGACGAUUUAUUCACGCUCGGGACGCGAAAGUUUGCGAGAUGUCGUGAGGUGACUUUUUCGGGCUGCAAGCAUCAAAGUACGACCAAAAAUUGUUUUUCUCUCAGCGAAGCACUGCAGACACUGUCCCAUCAUUCUCCUUAUCGAUCCUAUCCCAAAUAUUAUCCGCAUUAUCGGAUCUGAAUGUAUCUCGGAGUAGACGGGAAAUCUCACAAACUUUCGCGUCCUAAUUCGCGAUUAAUCAAUAAUGCGUAAAUUCAAAACAACAAUAAUCGCUAAUUAAUUGUACACCGCGGAACCCGCCAGGGGCCAGUAUUGACAAUUAUAAAAAAUAUGACCAAGAUAAAUGCUAUUACAAUAAUCGUUUCUACGUGUAACAAAUCGCUUAUAAGAUAUAGUAUAAGAAAGUAUAAGAAAAUUUAGACUCGGCACAACCGCAUUAUCGUGUUUAAGGAGCGUACUUCAAAAUUGAAACUGGAUUUACGCUACACGCUUAUUGAUCAACGCAAGGUAAUGUUGCCUAAAAGAGCGAAAGCAAUACGGUAGUCCGCCCAAUUUUGAUGUAUAAAGUCGAAUAUGAACGAAUGAUUUCGAGACAGACAAAAAUUCGAGUGGAACCCUCGUUCAAUAUCAAUCGAUUUUUCUUUUUCCUUUCAUGGAAAAGUCGCCGAAAGUGAAGAAAAACUCGCGGAAAUAUAGCAAUUAACUCAAAUAUCGCACAUGAAACGAUUUGUAAAUGCGUCUUGCCGGAGAAAAAUCAGAAGUAAUAUACGAAACGAGAAAUACACAAAAAAAAAAACAAAAAAAAAACAAAA